AAAAAGAUAAGCUAAUUUAAGCUAUCAGGUUCAUACCCUGAGUAUAGAAGUUAUAAUCUUCUUCUUUUUA
rnacentral:tRNA from 1 species